rnacentral:rRNA from 1 species
AAUCAACGCUGGCGGCGUGCCUAACACAUGCAAGUCGAACGAGAAGGUGACUUCGGUCACUGGAUAGUGGCGUCCGGGUGAGUAACACGUAGGUAAUCUACCUUCGGGUGGGGAAUAACGUCUCGAAAGAGACGCUAAUACCGCAUAAUGCAGCGGCACCUAAUGGUGAUUAGUUGUUAAAGCGGGGGAGUCUUCGGACCUCGCGCCUGAAGAGGAGCCUGCGGCAGAUAGCUAGUUGGUGAGGUAAUGGCUCACCAAGGCUUCGAUCUGUAGCUGGUCUGAGAGGACGGCCAGCCACACUGGCACUGACACACGGGCCAGACUCCUACGGGAGGCAGCAGUGGGAAUUUUGGGCAAUGGGCGAAAGCCUGACCCAGCAACGCCGCGUGAAGGAGGAAAUCCUUCGGGAUGUAAACUUCAUAAGUAAGGGAAGAAAGCUGCGGAUCGAAUAAGUCCGCAGUCCGACGGUACCUUACGUAAGCCACGGCUAACUACGUGCCA